GGUCUGUUACAUCUAGUAAAGCGUUCUAACCCGAUUGUCCCUCUAGAGGGAGACAUAGUCCAGCUUUUAUACGAAUUGCCUCCGCAUCUUUUACUGUCUCGUUCUUUUUCUGCAGGACCGUUGUUUGCUCUCAGCGGCAGUUGCUGGGGCUCACAGAACUGGCUGUUGGGAGAGAGAAGGGAGGCAACGUCGCUUGGUCCUCCCAUCCCAUUUUACUGCUUAACUCAACCUGGAGUCUCAGGACCUAUUCUCCUCCUGCAUUCUCUCUGCACUAUACGGGGGAGCCAAGUCACUCUGUAUUCCCUGGACAGCCGGGCUGGCUGGAAUAGGGUUCUAGAGUGGAGGGGGCUCUGCCCUUUAUGGCGACUUUCUAAAAGAUUAGCAUCAGUGUCUUUUGACAGUACAGCGCCUGGGGUGGGACUCGAAGAGGAGGCUUUGCUUGCUAAACGGCUUCUUUCUCCUCUGGAAAUCUGGAUUUUUUUCCUCGGCCUCCUCCCCCCGCUCCUUUCUUUCUCCCCUACCGCCUUUAGCGAAGUGACACAGGCGAUACCUGCUCGCUCGUGUUGGAUGUGGCAACUCGCACUUUCUCGUUGGUGACGGUGCCAGGGCACUGCUGCCAGGGGGACAUCGGCGGGUUUCCCUUCCUUCCAGCCCACGAUGCCUAGAAGGGCAGCGGGUGGGCUGCGCGGGGCUCUGCCCUCAGCACUUCGAGGCGGGAUUGAGGGGCUGAAGCUGGCCAGGAGUUGCUGCUAAGUGGACUCCAGUGGAAGGAGCAAAGUCUCCGCGAGGGCACCAGCGGGGACCUAUUUGCGAGCAGUGGGCACAGGGGCACCUGCACCGAGGAACGCGAGCGUCUGGCGGGGGGACUUUGGCCGAGCUCAGAGCCUCUCCUUCCUGUCCCGAGCCUCCCAGCAACUCCGCCACGCUGGAGCCCCGGUACCUGCGAGAACCGGGGAACUCGAGAAGUGCGUGGCCGAGGCUGCUUUCCUGAAGGUGAAUCAUUCCGUCCAAUUGCCUUUCCCUAGAGAACAAGAGGGAGGGCAAGAGAGAGGGAACAGAGGAUGUGUGAGUGUGUGUGUGUGUGAGAGGGAGAGACGACGUGAGGGGAGAGGAAAAGUCUUUACUAGGCGUUAAAAGCAAACAAAUCAGAGAUGGAACAAGAGCGGUAAUUGCUACAAGACCGCCUUGAUUCUUGCAGUCCAGGGAGCUGAGCGCACAGCGCGCAUCCGGCGAGGACAGCGGGCGACCGCGGGCGCUGCCAAGGGCUGCGGGACGUUGGCUUUUCCUCAGUAAAGAAAUCUUUUGAUUACUUUGAUACUGUGGAAUAAAGAAGGGGGGAGAAGGAUCAGGCUCACCUUCACCCGCUUUAGGGGGAUUCCAGUUCGGAUGUCAAGAGAUUCCUGAGUCCUACUUGCCAUCGGAGGAGGAAACACAUCCAUACACGCGCGCGCACACUUGCACGCUCAGGGCCACACUCACUCAUACGCCGCCGUCCACGAGCACACAGCACCAGACUUCGGUUCCCUAUGCCCCUGGAUGGUGACGGCGGAUUGGCAUCUUGGAAGCGAUGCGAGAGCGAUAAGGCUGGCGCUGGCCCGCAAAACCUGCAGGAGCAUCGCUAGGUGUUGCCGCCACGGGGAAGCGGGGCUGCAGGAUGAGUAAGAGAUACUUACAGAAAGCAACAAAAGGAAAACUGCUAAUAAUAAUAUUUAUUGUAACCUUGUGGGGGAAAGUUGUAUCCAGUGCAAACCAUCAUAAAGAUGAUUCAAGAAUUUUUAAAAAUAAAAUCUCAAAGCAGAUCCAGUCUACUAUGAGGAGAUUAAAAUAUAGAUUUCCUGGUGUUGCUCACCAUGUUAAAACGGGAACUUGUGAGGUGGUGGCACUCCACAGAUGCUGUAACAAGAACAAGAUAGAAGAGCGGUCACAAACAGUCAAGUGCUCCUGCUUCCCCGGGCAGGUGGCAGGCACCACACGAGCUGCUCCAUCAUGUGUGGAUGCUUCAAUAGUGGAACAGAAAUGGUGGUGCCACAUGCAACCAUGUCUAGAGGGAGAGGAAUGUAAAGUUCUUCCAGAUCGGAAAGGAUGGAGCUGUUCCUCUGGGAAUAAAGUCAAAACAACUAGGGCAAACGUGUAAAACUCUUCAAGUUCGAAUGGAGAAGUAGAAAGAGAAGGUUUCUGCUGUGCCUGAUGACAAUUUUUGAUUUCUCCACACUCAAAAAAAUUUUGGCUCCACCUUGGAGCACUAGUUGUGGCAAAUCCUAGUGUUGGUCGGAUUCUAAGGAAGGGACAGAAGUUUCAUUGAGAAGUAAAGAUUCCAAACAACUCCAGAAAUGAGCUCCCGUCUUGGUUUAUUUCUCACAGAGCAGCAGGUAACCCAUUAACCCAGGAGAAACCAAGUGAUCCUCAAGGCCGAUGACAAUGAACAUAUGCAUAGAAGCUUCACUCCUGAGGUGAUCUUGAAGAUUUUUAUACCACUUGAAAGAGGCACUGAAGAGUCGAUUUCCAAGGGAUUUCAUGGCCUCUUCUUGAAAUCAAGACUUUUUAAAAGUCAGACAUGAACUUCUAUGUCAUGAAGAUUUCAGCAGAUUUGAACUGUGUUCAGCCUGUAAAUUGUUAAAAGAAUUUGAAGUUGCUGUCUGUGGAGCCAGUGAAGAGUUGUUUUUUCAGGGUGAUGUUGGAGACAGUCACCUUUUGAGCUAUCGGCUCCAGAUGUGACUGCUUUUCUUGCUUCUGCAAGCUGUAUCCCAAGGGCACUGUCCUUCUGUCCUGGAUGUGUUCCUGGGUCCUAUGUUCAUUGGCUAGUGGGACUAUACAUGGCUUUAAUGACGUUUCCUUUGAGAACUUUUCCUCUGGCAUGGUGUAGACUGAGACAAUUUUAUUUAUAUCUGAAUCUUGGAGCUCGGAAAGCCUACAUGUUUUAACAACUUAAAGUUGCUUUUGUUAAAGGAAUGGAAAUAUAUAUCCAUUGGUAAUAAUGUUGGCAAGUAAUAGUUAUCUGAAUACAUCAAUCAUAUAAGAAUGUAUAGACAAGCUGACAUAUUUCCCUAAGGCUAACAACACUCUGCUGCAGCUCUUUGUCAAAUAGUUAGUAGUUAGAACUGGAUUACCAUUUUCAUUAUAUAAUACUUUGUACCUCUAGAGCACUCUCCCUUUCUGCUUUCUUUUUUUUUAAGUGGGCUUUUCUUUAAUUUUUUUUUUAUGUUUACUUUUAUUCCCUUCACAGAAAUCAGCAGUGAGCAGUCAAGUUACUGGAUAGACGUCAGUUUCAAAAAGUUGCCAGGGAUGCAUGUGAGUUUCUGAUUUCUUAGCUUGAACAUUAUUCACUUAGAUUUUUUCUAGUUUUUUUUUUUUUUUUAAGCUGCCCUAUCUCAUUUUAAAAGAUUGUCUUUUGCUUGCUCCCAAUGACUGUUUGAAUGCUUACAUAUUUGUUCAAUCUGUUGAUAGAAAAAAUUGUUCAUUUUCCUCAGCCUCAAAUGUGUUAAUAUUUGCUUACACUUUUCCCAUUUGAACAACUUGUUAGGCCAGUAUUUUGUGACAUUUUUGUAGCCAUUUGAACAUUUCUGUUUUUGGUUUUACAGGGAAGUCAUAAAUAUUUAAAGGCCUUAAACAUGUAUGUAGUUUUUUUUAAGUUAUUGUAGAAUGUAUAAUUUUAUACUACAUUUAUUUUGUUUCAUUUGUGAUAUGAAAGGAGAGAAGAAUGAAAAUUGUGUAGCCAUUCUGUAACAAUAUUGUAUAAACCUGUAGUUUGAAGGAAUGCAAGUGAGGGAUUUCUGUGUUUUACUCAUUUUAGACUAUCCAGAAGAUGCUUCUGAAAUUGUCCUAUUAGAAUUUCCAUCAUGUUACAGAAGGUAUGGGAAUAUCUUGUAUUCUGAAAACUCACUGACAUGGUCAAUUACACAUACAUUGGUUUCCAGCCUGGAGGCCCACAUGUACUGGGGAACAUUGGUCUAUUAUUUCUUGACAAUAUUCAAAGACCAAUACACUACUCAGACACUUUCCUGGGAAGAACAACUAAAAAUGUAAAACUGGUUAAAAAUAAGAUCUGAAAAGUUUACGUCUCACAUUGAACUAAAAACCACUUGUCUCCUAAGUUCAUGAAAUGAAAUGACAUUCUGCCUCCAUUUUAAUUAUGCAUAAAAUGAAUUAGAUGGUUUUGAGUGGAUUUUCACAAUGGCUCAAGACUAUAUGAAAUUUUAAAAAAGGAAUAAUGGUUGUCCUGGAGUUUCUGCAUCAAUUAGAAUAUAAUUAAUUUCUUUGUAACCAAGUGAAAAACUAUACCUUUUGGAAAAUAUGAAUUUGUCCUAGGUUUGUUUGAGAUUAUAGAUCAUGCUUCUCAUUUUUUAAACUAUGUUCUUUAACAACUGGAAACUCUGUAUUAUAUACAAGUGUAAUACAUGCAUACAAUAGAAAAAAAUACAUGGAAUUUCAAAUAUACUAACUAGAUUAUCCCCAGUAGAUUAAUGUUGUGACUACUCAGAAAAGGUGAAUAAAAUUGGGAUAUAAAAUGGGCUCUCUUUCAUAAAUUACGUUUAGAGAUCUGCUUUCUGUGUUUUAUUUUAAAAGCACUUCAGUUAUUAUCCAGGAACACUUCUGAAUUCCUGGGGAAGAUGACAUAAAUUCUUUUUUUUUUUUUAAAUAAAGAUUCAUGGCAAAUUUUGCCAUUUACACAAGA